CCCUUAGACGUUCUGGGCCGCACGCGCGCUACACUGACACAGGCAACGAGCUUUCCUUUACCGAAAGGUAUGGGUAAUCUUUUGAAACUGUGUCGGGCUGGGGAUAGAUCCUUGCAAUUUUUGAUCUUAAACGAGGAAUUCCUAGUAAGCGCGAGUCAUCAACUCGCGUUGAUUACGUCCCUGCCCUUUGUACACACCGCCCGUCGCUACUACCGAUUGAAUGGCUUAGUGAGGCCUCAGGAUCCGCGCUUAAUGUGUGGAGAAUUUGGACAAACUACGUCAUUUAGAGGAAGUAAAAGUCGUAACA
rnacentral:rRNA from 1 species